rnacentral:rRNA from 1 species
GCGAAAAGAACCCCGGCGAGGGGAGUGAAAAAGAACCUGAAACCGUGUACGUACAAGCAGUGGGAGCCCCACCACUAAGCCAGUGGUGAACUCCACAUCCGCAUCCUUUGCUGAGGAUACGGUUAACGGAGCGAAAGCGACGUUCAACCGCAAAACAAGCAGAGGGGGCUUAGUGGUGGGGUGACUGCGUACCUUUUGUAUAAUGGGUCAGCGACUUAUAUUCUGUAGCAAGGUUAACCGAAUAGGGGAGCCGGAGGGAAACCGAGUCUUAAUUGGGCGUUAAGUUGCAGGGUAUAGACCCGAAACCCGGUGAUCUAGCCAUGGGCAGGUUGAAGGUUGGGUAACACUAACUGGAGGACCGAACCGACUAAUGUUGAAAAAUUAGCGGAUGACCUGUGGCUGGGGGUGAAAGGCCAAUCAAACCGGGAGAUAGCUGGUUCUCCCCGAAAGCUAUUUAGGUAGCGCCUCGUGAAUUCAUCUCCGGGGGUAGAGCACUGUUUCGGCUAGGGGGCCAUCCCGGCUUACCAACCCGAUGCAAACUGCGAAUACCGGAGAAUGUUAUCACGGGAGACACACGGCGGGUGCUAACGUCCGUCGUGAAGAGGGAAACAACCCAGACCGCCAGCUAAGGUCCCAAAGUCAUGGUUAAGUGGGAAACGAUGUGGGAAGGCCCAGACAGCCAGGAUGUUGGCUUAGAAGCAGCCAUCAUUUAAAGAAAGCGUAAUAGCUCACUGGUCGAGUCGGCCUGCGCGGAAGAUGUAACGGGGCUAAACCAUGCACCGAAGCUGCGGCAGCGAACGUAUCACCCAAGACAACUUUACGGAGUUGACGAUUGACGGAGCGAAGCGACGUCAAAGCGUUCAUUAAAGUCGAGUUGGCUUAGGGAUACGUUCGUUGGGUAGGGGAGCGUUCUGUAAGCCUGUGAAGGUGUGUCGUGAGGCAUGCUGGAGGUAUCAGAAGUGCGAAUGCUGACAUAAGUAACGAUAAAGCGGGUGAAAAGCCCGCUCGCCGGAAGACCAAGGGUUCCUGUCCAACGUUAAUCGGGGCAGGGUGAGUCGACCCCUAAGGCGAGGCCGAAAGGCGUAGUCGAUGGGAAACGGGUUAAUAUUCCCGUACUUGGUGUU